ACAGCAGUAGCCACGGUAAUACGUAGGGUGCAAGCGUUAAUCGGAAUUACUGGGCGUAAAGCGUGCGCAGGCGGUUUGUUAAGACAGAUGUGAAAUCCCCGGGCUCAACCUGGGAACUGCAUUUGUGACUGGCAAGCUAGAGUGUGGCAGAGGGGGGUGGAAUUCCGCGUGUAGCAGUGAAAUGCGUAGAUAUGCGGAGGAACACCGAUGGCGAAGGCAGCCCCCUGGGCCAACACUGACGCUCAUGCACGAAAGCGUGGGGAGCAAACAGGAUUAGAUACCCCUGUAGUCCCUGUCUCUUAUAC
rnacentral:rRNA from 1 species